AUUGAACGCUGGCGGCAGGCCUAACACAUGCAAGUCGAACGAGUGGCGGACGGGUGAGUAAUGUCUGGGAAACUGCCUUAUGGAGGGGGAUAACUACUGGAAACGGUAGCUAAUACCGCAUACCAUCGGAUGUGCCCAGAUGGGCUUAGCUAGUCGAGGGGGUAAAGGCUCACCUCGGCGACGCUGCCUAGCUGGUCUGAGAGGAUGACAAGCCACACUGGAACGGAGACACGGUCCAGACUCCUACGGGAGGCAGCAGUGAGGAAUAUUGCACAAUGGGAGAAAGCCUGAUGCAGCCAUGCCGCGUGUAUGAAGAAGACCUUCGGGUUGUAAAGUACUUUCAGCGGGGAGGCGUUACCCGCAGAAGAAGAACCGGCUAACUCCGUGCCAGCAGCCGCGGUAAUAC
rnacentral:rRNA from 1 species